GGAGGCUUUCGCCACACCUAUCCUGAAAGCGUUGCAUUCUUUAUGAUAGGUGUGACGAUGUCUUU
rnacentral:pre_miRNA from 1 species